rnacentral:lncRNA from 1 species
AGAGCAGUGCAUUGUGGAGGCUGAGCGCGCCGCGGCAGCGGGAGCUGCGGCCCCGGGAUCGCGCGGCGGGGAGCUGUCCGAGGUGCUGAUCGUCCCGACCCGCGGCCAGCGCGCGCCCUACGCUCCCACCUGCUCUGGACCCCAAGUCCUGGCUUUCCGUCCACUCUCAGUCUGUCCAUCUGUCUGUCUCUCCUUAUCUUGGGGGGCAACGGCUGGAGGAAAUCAUGGUGUUCGCUCCAGGUGAGAAACCUGGAAGUGAACCUGAAGAGGCGAAGCUGCAGAACGCCAGCAAACAGAUCGUGCAGAAUGCCAUCCUGCGCGCUGUGCAGCAGGUCUCCCAGGAGAGUCGGCGGAGGGAAGCCAGAGCCAGCGGCACCCAGGGCAGCCCCCAGCGGGGCGUGGGGGAGUUAACCAAGAAGCAUGAGAAGAAGUAACACCGUGGAUUCGGCCCUUGUCACACUGCUUGGUCUUCAGCCUUCCUCUUAGUAUAGGAUGUGUCGCCAAAAUGUUGCCAGUAAAGCAAACCAAAGUGUCAUAGGCACCUAGCAGUAGGAUGAACUUGCACGAGCCCCUCGUUGGGAUGCACUGUUCUGACAAAAGUGCAUUAGACGAUUCUGUUUAAACACAGUGCCUCGGAAACAUAGUCGGGCCAAACACGACACUGUAAUUGCAAAAGUAGUUUUGCAGCACAAUUCCUUUUUAAAAUCUUUUUUUUUUAAAUGAUUCUGUCUUGUUUAUUUAAUUUUGCCUUUUGUGCAUUUUUUCUGUGAAUUUAACCAGCAGUCCUUUUUUGCUGAAACAUUGAGUGCAGUACUGAGAUCUGUAUAAUAUUUUAUAAAGACAUGCUGGAAGGGUGAAGGAAUAUUGUUUGAGUGCCCCUCAAAUAUGGAAUUGAAGGUUUUAAUAAAGUGGGUUCAGGUCCAAGAUCAAAUUAAGCAAAAAGCAAAUCCUAAGACCAAGUCCCUCAGGAUCUUAACAAGGUGUGUAUUUAUAUUACUUUUUUAAAAAGGAGGAAUUUCGCUUUUCCUGUAUUCAGUCUGAAAUCUCUCAGUUGUUUGAUACUCGGUAUUUACUCUCUGUGCAGAAAUCCUUUGGAAAUAUUACGGAUUACUUUUUCCAUCUCAAGAUGAAAAUAAGACAGGUACAUCUAUAUGCAUGAGUUGUCAAUGUUAGCAACCCCUUGAAGAGCAGCAAGAAUUGUAGGUUGCAUCCUGGAGAUACAGUAGUGCCUGAUGAUGGUAUAUGGUGCCUUUGGGAGGAGCUCUUGGAUCUUAUAAAUGCUGUGGGGCCUUCAGGCUAUGCAUCUGCACUAGUACCUUGCUAAUAGGAAAUUUCCUUGUCCCACCCACGAAUUACAUUUUUCUUGAGAUUAUGAAAAUCAUAUGUAUUGGGAAUGAAUGUUGCUUCAAAUGGGAAAAUCAUUCUCUCAACUUUCUGGAACAGCAAAAGACAGUGGGAACAGUCGAGCAACCGUGUUGUGAAUGCAGUUAUGGAAGCGUGUGUGUGAGUGAAUAAAGCCAUCUCCGCAGCAGAAUGACUUCUGCUUCACCCCCAUGGGGGUAACACAUAGUUUUCUAUGUCCUUAGCAUCCCAUUUCCUGGGCUUUGCAGCAGUUAUUGAGUUGGAGCUAUUGGGAACAGAGGGAGAAUUUGGCCUUUGUUAGAGAUCUUUUGGCUUCGGGGUGUCAGUGUCUACAUUUGAUAGUUUUUUUAAAAAGCAAAGUAUCAGCAUCUAAAGGGUGACAGAUAUGAAGAUCUGCUUCUAAAAUUCCAACAUGUUACACUUUCCAGAAGGGAUAUUAUUGAGAAAUGGAUGAACACAGUCUCUUAUUAGUUCUCUUAGACCAUCUCACACCAUGCACAGAUGGAAUAAGUUCACAGGGAGGAUGUCUGUGGGAGGGAGCAGAGGGGUAAACAUUUAAAUGUGGUUUAUUCAUAAUUUUCUCUGAAUAGUUCUCAUGACAAUUGAAGAAUGAGUUCAAGGUGACCUGAAGUCAUAUAACUGAGUAGAACUAUACCGCAUAGUUAAUAGGAAUAAAAUAUUAGGGGAAAUUAUUCAAGAGUAUACGCACACAGACACACACACACACACACACACACACACACACACACAAAUAAACCCACUGCUUGUAGUUUGCAAAUGAUCUGACACUCUGUCUGCUAGGAUAUCUGAGUAGAAUCAGCCUUGGACUUGGUUGUCAUAUGGCAGAAACACAUAAACACACUCUCUUUCCUCUCUGGUGUGUCUGUGUUAAUACCUUGGGGAUCUUUGAGAAUAUCUGAUUAACCUCUGUAUCUAAAUGUUGUUUAUAAAUAAAACAUAUCCAGCUU